GUUUUGUUUUCCUUGCCAUCAUGCUUGCCAUCCGUGGUGAUGACUUAUUGUCUGUGCAUGGCAUGUACAACAAUUACAAAUGUGGACAGGGAACCAUAAUCUGACUGAAUGAUAGAUUGAAAUCUGUACCCUCCAUUAAGGUAACUUCAAGUGAUAAAACAGUGAGCUCUUUUAUUGCUCGUGACUUACAUCAACAUUCUACAUCCACUCCUCAUUCUAUCACAAUCAGUUGUUCACGAAUGAAAUCAACAUUCUAAAUUCACUUUUUUUUUACACUUUGAGUGGUGAUGUGGGCUACGACUUCUAUCUUACUAGGCAACUACAAGUUAUACCAGAAAGGAUUCCCUCUGACUCAACGGUCUCAUGACGGAUACAAAAGUGGAUCCACUUCUCAUUCUAACACCCUACAUGGAAAUUCAGAAUUGUUUGUUUUCCUUGCAACAACAAGCUAUACAACAGUGUGGACUCCUUCUUCGGUCGUGGCUGAGAUCAACAUGGUAGAUCAACUUCUCUAUAUAACACACUCAGUGGUGAUCUUGACUUCACAGUCAUUUGUACCAUCCGUAAGCGUUAUUAUGGUUUCAAUCGGUUCUGGUAAUUACACUUCUCAUCCUAACGCCAUCCCACUUACUUUUUAUUUUCUUAUCUCUCCGUAAGCAUCAAUUGAUUUUAGAAUAGUUGAAUGCAAAGUUUUUAUUCAUUGUGAUUUAAUUCAAGGCAACUACAAGUAAACAACAGUAUAUCCUUCUUUCGAUUAAGACUUACAUCAAAAUUCUAUAUCCAUUCCAUCUCUGUUAUUUACAAUUGUC